rnacentral:lncRNA from 1 species
NNNNNNNNNNNNCUUCAGUCUUGUUUGGUAUUUAGGCCCUGCAUUGUUAUCUUCCUAGUCUCAUGGAGAUUAUCUUUUUGAAAAUAUUAAGAAUUACAGCGCCUUCUUUCUUGCCCCUAGCAGUCAAUCCGUGAAUAAUAUCGGGGGUGGUGCCUUCUACUUUUCUCCCUGUGGGCUAAUUGCAGCAACCUUUCAGUAUCUUGGAUACCCUUGAUCAGAUAUUAUCCUCCUAUUACUAGGUCUAGCAUUUGUCUUCUUCCCCAAGGUAAAGCAAUUUAUUAAGAAUAUUAUCCAAGGACCUGUCCCCAGACAAAGUAGUUGUGGGUGGCAAGGUGUGUGUGGGGAUUUGGGCAGGUACCUAUCAUGGUUUUCUCCUCCAAUGGUUCUUAAUUUCACCCCUGAACAAGUGCAAAAUCCAAGAAAACUGGUAGAAUGUUUGAAAGACUUAUGCCCUGACCCUGGCAAUACUAGAGAACUCCACCAGCUUGCUGCACUCUGCUGGGGUCUGGCUUACUCCUAUCAAAUGUCAAUUAACAUUGCCCAGCACCCUCAAGGGGAUAGGGAGGUUCCUGAAUUUGAUGAUGAGACAGCACACACUGUGACCACCCCAGAGGACCAACCAUCUAUGGUAUCAGUCACUCCUAUAGUAAAGACAAAACAGUGGAAAUGGAGAUCAGGUCAUUUAGUAAGGGAAGAAGUUCCUCCUAAAGAUGAGGGAGAAGAGGAAAAGGCAGGCAGCUCUAAAGCAGCGUCAUCACGGCAACAUCACGGAGAAGAGACUGAAAUCAUAGAUGAAUCAGAAACUACUCGGUCUCUAUCCUUGAGUGAGAUGCGAGAAAUACGAAAAGAUUUCAGUCGUCAUCUAGGUGAGCACAUCCUCACCUGGCUGCUUCAGUGCUGGGAUACUGGAGCCAAUACCCAACAGCUAGAAGGCAAUGAAGCCAAGCAGCUGGGAUCCCUCUCUAGAGAAAGGCUCAUUGAUAGAGUAAUUGGGAGAGAGGCACAAGUUCUCAGCCUCUGGAGGCGAAACCUAACAGCUGUGAAAGAAAGGUAUCCCCACAAAGAAGCUAUUGUAUACCAAGUAAGCAAAUGGACCACUAUGGAUAAGGGCCUCCAGCAGAUGCAGGAAUUAGCUGUGCUGGAGAUGCUUUAUAGUGAUUUAAACAAUGUCCAGACACCUAAAGACCCUGAUGAAGUCCAAUGUACAACGUCCAUGUGGCGGAAGUUUGUACGGGCUGCACCCUCAUCACAUGCCAGCACACUGGCAGCAAUGGAUUGAGAUGAGGGGAUGGGGCCAAUUGUGGACAAUGUGUCCAAUCACCUUCAUAAAUAUGAAGAA